UACAGGGGGGGCAAGCGUUGUUCGGAAUUACUGGGCGUAAAGGGUCUGUAGGUGGCCAACUAAGUCAGACGUGAAAUCCCUCAGCUUAACUGGGGAACUGCGUCUGAUACUGGAUGGCUAGAGUUCGGGAGAGGGAUGCGGAAUUCCAGGUGUAGCGGUGAAAUGCGUAGAUAUCUGGAGGAACACCGGUGGCGAAGGCGGCAUCCUGGACCGACACUGACGCUGAGGAGCGAAAGCCAGGGGAGCAAACGGG
rnacentral:rRNA from 1 species